ACUAUACAAUAGCUACAAAACAAACAUAUAAAAUACAACAUUAACUAGCAGAUACAACCAUAGCAUCAUCAUGCAGCUGUGGAGCAAAUUAAAAUUCCUAUAGACUUUAGCACAAGGAUACUUUUUUGGUUGUCAAAUUUGGCAAGGAUAUCUUUGUAUAGUGGUACCUCGCGUUAAGAACUUAAUUCGUUCUGGAGGUCUGUUCUUAACCUGAAGCACCACUUUAGCUAAUGGGGCCUCCUGCCGCUGCUCCACGAUUUCUGUUCUCAUCCUGAAGCAAAGUUCUUAACCCGAGGUAUUAUUUCUGGGUUAGCGGAGUCUGUAACCUGAAGCGUAUGUAACCUGAAGCGUAUGUAACCCGAGGUACCACUGCAUGUGUUUAAGUGAGUUUUGCUCAGAGUUGUGAAACUGCACGUGUGUAAAUAUUUUGUUACUUCUUGUUAUUUAUUUUUAACUUGCUUUACCUCCCAGGAGUUCAAGUCUGAGUACAUUGUCCCCCAUUUCAUCUUUGCAGCAGCCCCAUCUGGUAGGCUAGGCUACGUAGUUUAGUCGUUCAUCGUUCAGACACCAAAUUUGUGAAAUACUUGCUUAUUCUUCUUUAUCAGUGUUGGCAAACCUAUUGGUGGGUUCUGUAAACAGCAGGACUAUGAAAUGUUGCCUUUAAAGCAAGGUAUAUGUUUUUUCCCCCUUGAAUAAUCUGUGAUAUAUAUUUAUAUCUAGCAUUUAUACCCAGGAACUCAAGGUUGUGUACAUCACCCACUAUUUAUCUUUGUAACAGCCCUGUGAGGUAGUCUAGGCUUAGUUGAUAUAUGUACAUCCACAUAUAGUGUACUGGGCCAACAGAAAAUCCUGUUGUCAUACCUAGAGGCAGUUACUGAGGGAAGAGACUGGGAGUUUUUAGGUUGUUGCUGUUCCCUGACAGAGGCUUUCUGCUUGCAAUAUCACAAAGAUGGGCCAUGGGCAGAAAUUCAACAGGUGCAGCUUGUGUUCGGCAUCAUGAUGCCAGGAUAGGAGAAGAUGAACCUACUGAAUUUCUAUCCUGCAGCUGUUAAAGGCACACUACAGCUGUCAGGAAAUAGUGCAGAUGUCAGAAAAAGUGGCAUCCUUUGGAAAUGUUGAGGCUAGGAGAGCGAGCCAAAAUCCUCCCUUUUAAAAUCAAAAUCUGGCACAAAUCCAGAGAGGCACUAUAGCCCAAACAAACUUUUGCUCUUUGUCCCUGGCUGUUCCAUCCCAAUGAAGAAAGUGAAGGAAGGAGCUGUAAUGUGCCAUGUGACUCCUUCCCUCCGAACUGAAAGGAAUUAGAUAAUCACGUAAGUCAUAAAUGGUUGCUUACAGCACAGUCCUAUACAUUUCUAUUCAUAAAUAAUGCUUAAUGAGUUCAAUGGGGACUUACUUCCAGAUAAGCGGGUAUAGGAUUGCAGCAUUAGUUGUCAAGUGGAUUCAUCAUAUUUACCUAAAUGAGCUAUCUAAUUCCUGACCGGAAGCCUUUGAGUGACAUAAGAUGGUUUCUUAAUUCCGGCUAAUUUCUGCUUAGAUAUCACAACAUGCGCCAUUUAGUUUUGAGAAUUCCCUGGUAUAGGCGCGCGCACACAAAUGGUUUGAAGCCAUUUGGCAGCUGCUUCACAGCAAGAGCUAAGCAGGUUUCUGCCUGGUUGAUGCCUGUGUGGGGGGUUGCCAACUGACCAGAAAGCAAUAUGGCGUGACUUUGCCUUGUGCUCUUAAGAAACUCUGUGAGCAUAUAUCAGUAGGUAAAGAUUUCACAGCAUGGAAACAUUAUCACCUGCUGAUAUUGAAAACACCGUCUCAUAGUGACCAGUGGGGAAAAAACUAGCAACUUCAGUACUGCACUUCCCAAAGUUAAAGCGGGAUAUAGUUGCAAUAAAUAAAUGUUGAGAAAAAGCUUCCCCAAAGAACCUGUGGUUUUCCUGGAAAGCCUUAUCCCUAAUUCUAAAUCAAUGGAGAUUGCUUGGAGUUAUUUCCUGGAGAGAGCAGGGCACUUUGCACAUGGUCAGAGUCACUCUCUUAUAGUUUCAAGGUGCCAGGCUUGCAUCCUGAUACUGAGAGAUGGUUGUAGAGCUAAGCCCAGUUGAGCCUCUGAUCAAACUAAGCUCUGUUCAAACUGCAAGUGCAAAUUACAACAUUAGGGGGUUUCACACACUGUUUCACUUCACAGCUCUUUGGAAUGUAUCCUCUCAAGUCCAUCAAACCUAUGUAUUUUCUUCAAAGCCUCUAAAAUCCUUCCUUUGAACUUCUUGGUUGGGUUUCCUUGUUCUUUUCUACUGCUGAAGUUGCUGGGUUUUCUAAUUACUAUUAUAUCAGUGUGUAGGAUCAGUGAACUAAAUGCCCUAUCAAUUACUUCUUCCUAUUUACAGUUUAAUAGAGAUGGUUGUUCUUAAUUUGAUGGUUGUUCUUUGUUCAAAAAGUCAACUGGAAUCUUCUAUUCAGUUCCUGUGGGAAGGGGGAAAAGCAUGUUGCCCUUUUAUACGAAGGCAGUACAUUCCUGGGAGAUUUCCCCCACCCCUCAUGAUUACUGCAUUACAUUUCAUCAUUUUAGAAUGAAAAUGCCAGCAUUUUGCCUUCCGCUUUCUAUUAUCAGAUAGUGGCCCAAAUUAUGUAAACGGAACAGACAGCUUUUUCAUUGCCAUGCAGAUUAAUGCGGGUGUGUUCAUAUUACCAUUUACUGCAGCUCCAGCCUGCUCCCACGGGUGGUUUCUUGAGCCGGGUUCAUAUGACAUGAGGCACAACUCAUCUGUAUCCUGCUGCUUUUAGAGAAAUACUGUACUCCUUUCCUCGUUCAUGAACUUUCCCUCAAAUCAGAUUCAAUGUGAUUCAAAAAUGCAAACUGUCAUUUCAUUGUGGUGUGAACAAUUCGGGCAGCUUUUGCACAUGUGCAGAUGGUGGUGAAAGUGUCAUCAGCUUGGAGUUUGGCACAGGGGAAGAAAUAAUCAGGCAAAAGACCUCUCCACUCUCGCUCUGUUGAGAACACAGAAAGAGACCUGGAAAUCCAGCAGAGAGGAAAUGACCUUGCAGCAUCUCAAGUGAACAUAGCCUGUGCUGGAAGUGUACAUUGCACACAUCCUCAUAGUAGCAUCCUACGGUUGAUGCUUUCUUACAAUCUUCACAAUAGCCUUGCCACACAGGCCAGUAAUAUCCACUUACUACAGGGUUGGGAAGCCUGUGAGCCUCCAGUGUUGAAGUGCAGCUCCCAUCAACCCUAGCCAACAUCACCAGUGUUCAGAGAUCAUGGUAACCUGUAGGCCAAUAGAAUAUGGAGAGCAAUGUGCUGUGCUUCCCUUCCUUCCCAUGUUUCUUACCUACGCCUCAGAAAGGCCUAGGCAAGUUGUUGUCCUUGGCUUGCCUAUUGAGCUAAGGGCUUCACAUCUUACUUCUUAGCUGCACCAACUGAGUGUGUGUGUUGUGUGACAGUGCAUCUAAAUUAUCUGUAGGAGAAGAGCUGUUAUCGUUUCCAAGAAUAUAAAACAGGACACUAUCAUUUUCUUUCCCUUUCCAUAGAGGCCAUCAUGCUGCUUACCUAAAUAAUCCAAAAAGGGCUGCAGACAGCGAUUUCUUGAGCAGAAUAAUGACAGUUUAAUCUUUACAUAUCUGAAAAGCAGCUAUUUGUAAGCUGCAGAUGUCCAAGCUUUUGGCAGAAGUAGCUUUCUGCGUGAUGUGUGCUACAAACUAAAUCAUCUCUCUUUUGAAAUGAAGUGCAUAUUGUAACUUUGUUCUUUCCUGUUAUCUCUUGUCUAUCCCUGCAGAAUUAUAUGCAGAAUGUUGAUGCCCUUUUCAAAGAUUUUUUUAAAAAAAUACAAUAAGCUAAGCUACCUGUUAGGUCAACAGUGACCUAAGUCUUUCAUGUAUCCAAUUCAAAAUUGGGCCUCAUUUAAAGACAUCAUUCUGUUUUUGUAAUUGAACAAAGUGGUUUCCACAGGCUCUCCCAUUCUGAAUUGCCCUGUGCCCUGUUCUCUAGACAUCUCUUCUUUGAGGUCGUAGAGUAG